rnacentral:snoRNA from 11 species
GCCUAUGAUGAUAGUUUGAAUAUUAACUGAAAUGCAAAAGCAUUUGCAUUCAUGUUGAAAUUCAUGAACUAGGACGGUCUGAGGC